rnacentral:rRNA from 1 species
CCUACGGGAGGCAGCAGUGAGGAAUAUUGGUCAAUGGGCGUAAGCCUGAACCAGCCAAGUCGCGUGAGGGAUGAAGGUUCUAUGGAUCGUAAACCUCUUUUAUAAGGGAAUAAAGUGUGGGACGUGUCCUAUUUUGUAUGUACCUUAUGAAUAAGGAUCGGCUAACUCCGUUCCAGCAGCCGCGGUAAUCCGGAGGAGCCGAGCGUUAUCCGGAUUUAUUUGGUUUAAAGGGUGCGUAGGCGGGGUUUUAAGUCCGCGGGGAAAGUGUGGGGCUAAACCAUAGAAUUGCCGUUGAAACUGGGGGCCUUGAGUGUGUUAGAGGAAGGCGGAAUGCGUGGUGUAGCGGUGAAAUGCAUAGAUAUCACGCAGAACCCCGAUUGCGAAGGCAGCCUGCC